ACCCGUUCCAAGGGGAGCCCCGCUAGGGGGCUGAGAGAUCGCCGGCCGGAAGGCAACGCGAUGACCCUUCGAACCUGAUCCGGGUCAUGCCGGCGAAGGGAUCGGAACCUGAUGGCGU
rnacentral:ncRNA from 2 species